GCUGGGAUGGGGCAUCUUGGGCUCCCACCCUGGGGUCCGUUUGAAGCAGCUUCCUCUGGCUGCUUCACCCCAAGGCAUUGUUAUAGGCAUUAUACAAAUUAAUAUGUGUAAAGUGAUAGUACAGAUCCUGCUGCGUACUAAACAUGCGUUAAAUACUAAGUUACUACUACCCGUCAUGGCCGUGUGCGUCUUGGGGUGUGUCUGAGCUGGAGCUGAACCGGGCGGCUGGUAGUGAGUUAGUUGUUGUGAAAGAAUUUCUCCAAAGCUAUUUAAAAAACGCUGCUGGGUGUUGGAAAGCCCUGCCGGGCUCCUGCUGUCUGGCUGGGUCAGGCUCUUUUGUGCACCAGAUGUUAUCCAGAUGUCAUCUGGGGUCACUCCGAGAUUUGGCGCCUGCCUCUCUCCCGUGACCUGCACCCUCCCCGCCAUGUCUGCAAAUUCCCAGGGCCUGCGUUCUCGGGCUGCUUCUUGGCCGGAGUUCCUGCCCCUCAAACCCUUGCUCUCAGCUGCCUCUGGGGCCAGCCCUUUGGGGGAAACAGUUGCUGUUUUCUUGCCUCCCCCAAACCACCUGCACACAAUCUUUGCAUAGAUACCUGACUGCGCAAAGCUAGCCCCCCAGCCCCCGCAGGACGUGGCACUUCUCCCGAGACUCUGCCUCGAGGGUUUUAACUCCGUGCUCGCACUUGCAGUGAGCUUGUGUAGGAUGUUUUUUGACAAAAAUUCUGCCACCCAAAGGAAAAGUUUGCACACUUCUUGCACAACCCAGCAGUUUAUAGCCAGCUUAGAGUGCAGAGAGGAGGAUGCCCAAGGCCGAUCAACGGCAGCGAGCAGCUUCCGGGGCUCUUGAAGACUUGGAGGCAGGUAGGGGCACCCCAGUAUUGGCUGCGGGAAGCCGAGGCAGGGGGAGAGAGGAGCUGGCACAGAGCCGGAGGACGGACUGAGCGGCUCGGACAGAGCAGCAGCUCAGUCUUACCAAGAGGCCGACUCCUGGGAAAUCAGGCAAGACCCGCUUCGGAUAAAAUCUGCUGUGGAUUCUUCUGGCAGCCCCUGUAAUAAUCACCAAUGUUUUUUUGGGGGUGUGGCUAGUCAGAGCUCAGAGUUCAAAGCUGUUGCAAUCAAGCCUUGCACCGGACAGGGGUGGUAAGAACCUCCCUGGGCAGGGCUUGUUGGAAACAUGCAUGCCACUCAAGCCUGGAAUGGAGAACGGGGUCGUGCUGACCUUGACCGCAGUUCAGCACUUCUGUGACAAGGACCAAACUGUGCCUAAGUCUGUUCUCUGUAAGUCUCGCCUGGUCUCUGUGUAACUCACUGUACCACUGGGUGUCGGCUUGACUAGUAACCUGACCCUGGGAAUGGACUUUGAAGAGCAUAUUGUCCAGUGUUCCUUAACCGUUUCUGAAUCACAGACUCAUUUGGGGAUCUAACUGAAUCUAGAGACCACUUCUGACCCACGCCCCCAAAUAGAUUAACCCGCAUGAUAUUUUAGAUAGUUCUGUGGUGUCAUGGUUGCCCAGUCCAGGUUAAGAAUCUCUGAUUGUAGGUUGGCUCUCUCGUUUUACCCGAGAGGAAGCGGUCGCAGGAGACUUGCUCAGGGUUCCACAGAGAAUCUGUGACACAGUUGGGCGUCAGUCCAAUGUAACAAUAACUGUAGAACUGGAUGCAGACCUCGGUUCCAUCCCUUGCCAGCAAGAGCGGUAAUUGCCCCAUGCCUCAGUUUCCUCAUCUGCAAAACUGAGAUAAAAAUAAUAGUUGUUGUAUUUAUGAAAAAGUGAGACAAGCUGAUUCCUUAGCUUGCAAAUUUCUAGCUUAAUUGGAAGAUUGAACCAAAGAAUCCCGCCACCUAGUGGUUCUGUGGUGAAUAAAAUGAAAUGAGUGGCCCUGACACAUGCGCUGCCCAGGCAGGCGUCUCAGUCUGUGUGGUUACUGCCAGGGCAUAGUGGCUGCUUGUGUCUGAGCACCGUGUGUCUUCUUCCCAAGACAGUGUGUUUGGACAUUGUAGCUGUUUGCCUUUGCUGUGUAACAAACUACGCUAAAAUGUGCUGGCUUCAAACAAUGGUCACUUAUUAGCUCUUGAUUCUGUGGGUUGGAAUUGGGGCUGAGUUUAGCUGGGUGGUUUUCUUUUUUGCUGGCCUUGCUUAGGGCCACUCCCAGGACUGCAGUUAGCCGGUGGCUCGGCUGGGGCUCAGCCGUCUGGGAGGGCUUCAUGCACGCAUCUGCAGGCUGGGGCAAGCAGCAGGGCGGCGAGAGGUGCUAGGGACUUGACCUGCUGCCCUGGGCUUUGGAGAUGAGGAAGAGUUCUCGAGCUAAGGAAUGUGGGUGCCCCUAGAAGCUGGGGAUGGCCCUCAGUUGAGAACCAGACAGGAAACGGGGACCUCAGUCCUAUGACUGAGAAGAACUGAAAUCUGCCAGCAACUCUAGUGAGCCAGGAAAUGAAUCUUUCCCCGGACCCUCCAGAAAGGAGCUCCAGAAAGAUGCCUUCCAGCCACACAGGACAGUGGUUUCACAGCCACCUGUUGAAGGUGGUAGGUCCCUCUGUGAGUGGCUGAGGGUCCACGUGGAUGGUAAGUGGCCGCCAUGGGCACAUGAGGGUUUUCCCAGAGGUCUGGAGGUUGGGUGAGGCCUGCCCUGCCUUCGCCAGUCUCUGCUGCUUCUCCACAAAGCUUCGGUGUGCAGAGCCCACGGGUAUACUUGGGAAACUGAGGCCCAGAGCGGGGGCACCACAGGAGGGGUCCAGGUGACUGUGGUGGUUACCCCACCCCCCAGACUGAGGCCCCAGAGAGAGCAGGACGUGCAUGCUCUGUCCCUGCUCUGUGGGGACGCUUCACCAGCCAGGAGCAGGUGGCCACACUGUGGUCCCGAGGGGCUGAGCUUCAUGUUGCCUUGUCUGCCCUGUGCUGGGGGCACAGGGGGUGAGGGUCCUCGUGCUGGUAGAGAGGAGCUCCUGCCCUGGGUCCCCUGCCCCGAGAGGGUAGGAGCCUGCCCAGUGCCAGGUGACUGGGGAGCAGGGGGGCUGGGGAAGGGCCCUGGCCCCCACCUGUCACCGCCCCUCUCAUACUCCCAGCCCCGCCAUCCACGGUGGUCCUAUGGGUGGGGUGGGCAUCUCAAAGGUGUGGGCUCAGUGAUGGAGCUGGGAGGGCAUGGUGGGGGUCUGCUCUGCAGCCGAAGGGGGUCCCCUCCCAGCACCAUCUCCGUGGAGUCCUCAAAAGAAUGGGAGUCGCAUAAAAGCCACAGGGGGCCCCCAGCUGGGACCCUCCAGACCCCAUGACUUUCGGCUUCAGAGAUGGAUGGAUACCCUCAACUCCGAUGGAAGAGCCGCCCCUGAACCAGCAACUGGCUCACGGUGCGGCCCACAUCUGCCAAGAGCCUUUCCAGCGACGCUUGGGCCAAGCACCGUGCUGGGCUGAAUGACGGCGCACUGCAGCCUGGCUGGCGGGUGGGCACCAGCCUUCACGUCCCCGCCGCCACCCAGUCCGGCUGGGGGGCGCCCGUGGAGGAUGGGUCCUCUCGGCCUCAGGCUAGGAUCCCGGGGCCCCUCCAAAGCUGAGGAAGCCCCCUCCCUCUGGCCACUGGCGGAAGAAGAACCCGACAGUCCCCAGGCAGCAAGUCCCGCGCGCGGCGGGAAUGAACUCAGCUGCUCUCCUGCAGGAACUGCCUCAUCCCUCCCGGGGCAGGGGGAGGCGGAGGGAGCCUGGGGACAGCAGGGAAGUCAUCAAGGGCGCCCAUGAAAGGAAAUCCUGAAAGUGAUGCUCGGGAGACCGGUUUCCCCACUUCUCUGCUCUGAAACCAACUUGAUGUGGCAUGUGGGGGGAAACUGAGGCAAGGAGGGCGACUCUCUCAGAACCUCUCAGCCCAGGUGCCCUGGAGCUAGGACCCUGCUCCCCUGCAUGUCUUUUCUGGCCAUGCUCUCCCCCAUCCUCGCCUGGGAUUGGCUGCACACCCAGCCCCCAGCCACUACAUCCUCUUUCUGGCCACAGCGAUUCGCUCAGGAGUGGACAUAUAACACGCUCAGAGCCAAGGAGCGGUAAGAAAACUUACCGAGGAUUCUGGGGAAGCACGCUUGUUUUUUAUUUCUUUCCUUUCUUUAGGGCAACUGGAAGAGACUCCCAGUCUGGCCCUAGUCAGUGUGGUUGAGGUGGGAGAAACAGCAAGGCUUGUUCGUGGACCACAGGGUUGGGGCUGGGGCUGUAGAUGCUGUGUGGAGCCAGCACAUCAAGUGCAGGCAUAUGUGACGGCAGAGGGAAGGCACCUUGGUGAGGGCAUUUGAGCCCCUGGAUCAAACCUUACCUGAAGCUGUCUACUUUCAGUUAUGUGAGCCCAUAUUUAUUGUGAUGAUGAAGAUAAUACUACAUGACAUUAUGUAGCCCUUACUGCUUGCCAGACCCUUGUUCUAACCCCUUGACAUGUAUUGACCUAUUUAAUUUUCCCAACCACCCUCAGAUAUAGGUACUAUUACUCUCCCAUUGUACAGAUGAGAAAACUGAUGCAUAGACAGGUUAAGCAACUUCCCCAAGGCCGCAUAGCUGGGGUGGGCAGAGCCAGGAGGCCUGGACCCCUCUUCCUACGUGAGAUCUCACCUCCUGUUUCUGUUGCUUACACCCAAGGAGCCCUGACUGAUUCUAGGGGUGCCAGGGGAUUACAACAGGAGAGAGGAUGUUAGAGUCACUCCUUCACUACCCGGAACCCCUUUAGUGGGUCCCUGGGGCCCUGCAUGAUGCGGGCCCCACUCCCAGCUCCCACUGCAUCCCUGCCUCACUCAGCUCCAGGCCUACGGGCCUCCUCUCAGUUCCUCCAAAUCACCAAACUUAUUCCUGCCUCAGGGCCUUUGCCUUGCUAUUCCCUCUGCCUAAAAUGCCCUUCCUCUACUUCUGGUUAACCAAGCCAUGUCUUUAGGAAAAGGGGCCCCAUCCACCCUCACCCUGACCCAGUCUAGGUCAAUAGAGCCCAGAAUUCAUGAACACAAGCCCUGCAGGCAGUUGGCCUGGGUUCAAAUUCCAUUCCAUCCCUUCCUUGCUGUGUGACCUUGGGUCAUUACCUGACCUCUCUGCCUCAGUUCCAUUAUCUGUAAAAUGGGCUGAAAUCAUAUCUGUCUCACAGGUUUGAGAAAUAAAGGAGGCUAUUAUGUUAAAGUGAUUAGAACAGUUAGACACUUGAUAGUCAUUCAGGCAGCAAAUAAUGAUAGUUAUUACCAUCAUUAUAUUAUAUGUUAUAUAUAAUAACUAUUAUGAUGUAUAUUAAAUUAAUAUGUAUAUUAUAUAAAUGAUAAUAAUUAUAUAGCAUAUAAUAUUAUAUAUUAUGUAUCUGGUAUAUUAUUAUCAUUAUUAGAUACUUUUCUGUGACCAUCUGAUGAUUUUGUGUUUAUUAAAAUAGCAAAUGUUGCAAGCCAUGAGAUACAAUGUUUUCUUCUAUUGACAAGUGUAAAUAAUAUUCAUACAUCAACUAUAGUGCUGAAUUUGAAUACUAUCUUUAAAAUGGAAGCUUUUUCUUUUUCUUUUAUGCCUUCAGCUU